ensembl:snoRNA
AGCCUUUUACAUGAUAGAAUGCAUAAUGUGUGAUUCUAUUUCUUUGAAUAGGAAAAUCUAAUGU